CUGCAAAUAUCACACAUACAGCGCAUGAGUUCACUCCCUUGAGACAGCAUCCUAGAUGUUCAUGUUUUCAGAAUGUGGCUAAGAGCUCCAACAUAUUCCUGCAUGAGCAUCAAAAUGGUAGAGAAGAUUUUUGCUCUUCUACCUCACUGUAACUGCUCUCAUUAUCUUCCAUACUGGUAGUCCUUUCAAAUCAACCAGGCUGAGAAAGAAAAGAACUCAUACUUUAUAGAUAUAUAAUCUCUAGGAACUCAUAGUAGUGGUGACUAUCCCUUGAGAUGAUUUAAUAGCAUUAAUUACUUAAUGCAUGUGAAAGAACUGGAUACAAGCACAAACCUUUGUACCAGUCCCACAUUAUGAGUAUCCACUUCAAUAGAUCUCUUAUAGAGAAGCAAGGA